AGGUGAAUGUGGAACAAGAACUAGAUUUUAUAUAAAAGAGUUUAUUCCUUCUACUUGAGGUGUGACGUGAAGAAAAGUAAUGGAAAUCCUUCUGCCCUCCCAUUCUCAAGGGCUGGGGGAAUUCUAAUAUUGGAAUCAUUCAUUUGGGAAGCUUUUGUCUCAGAACUCCUGUGAUGCUCCCUGUACCUUGACGUGAUUUUGGAAUUGCAUGGAAUUCUCACUGCCUUCCCAAAGAAAUGCUGAUUUGGCAUUCUUACCUGUUCCAUUCCCUGGGCAGAAGAAAAGGAUGCACUCCAAAGGUCGGAAAUGAUGUUGAUGGAAGACAACAUUUGCCUCUUGGAAUUCUCACCUGCACACCAAAGAAGUGCUGAUUUUGUCAUUUGCACCAGCUUCUUUCUCCAGGAAAGGUCAAAACAAUGCACUCCAAGGGACCUGAAGCAAGAGAAUGAAUUAAGGAAAACUCCAGAGAAUGAGCUGACAGCUUACUCCCCGGUCAGUGGCUCUCCAUGCCCACCUGUGGUCUCUUGGACACCCUUGCAGAACACAACUUCCUCGGAACUCUUCUGGGAGUGAAUGUUAUCAGCAAAUUACUAAACAAACACCCCCUUAGACAAAGAGCUGCCUCACCUGUGCAUUGCCUCGGCCACCUGCUAAAGGUGAUGGCCACAAAGAGGUGGAUUUGUUGAGUUGUUGCCAUUCCUUCUACUGCCAGCUUCACCAAAACAUUGACAGUCUUCCUUAUGCAUGGAGACUCCUCUCUUCCCUGUGUUGCAGUGGAUACCUCCUGCAGAUAAGAAAUGCUUAACUGAGAAAUGCUCAUGUUGGGAUAUCAUCGAUGAGACUUUAAUUUGGGCAUGGUGACUGUUUCCCUUGCUGCCACUUGACUCAAUCCCAGGAGCCUCAGUAGAGGAUAUAAUAUUACACAAGCUGCUCAAAAUGGUGGAAUUGCUCAGUACUCCCAUAAAUAUACAUUUAUAGUUUUCAUUUGCCACAUGGUAAACUGAAAAAUAUAGAUAUAUUGAAAAGAAACUGCAUGAUUUUUUCAAAAAUUCAAAGCACAUUUAAAUAAUUAAUAUAUAAAUUAAAUGCCCUCCUCUCUUCCAGUUCUAUCCCUAUAGUUUUCCUCUAUUGAGUGAGCUGCAUGCAUUCUUUAGUGGACAGAUGCACACAAACACACAAGCCAUUUUGGGGAAGGAUCCGGGAGUGUGGCCAUAUUGUAACACAUUUUUCUGCAAAUUACCUCUUUCAUUUAACAGCUCUUAUUCAGUGGCCUUUUUCUUUUUCAGUAAUACAUACACAUCUGUGUCAUUUGUUGAAUGAUGACAUGAAUGUUUUGUAGAUGAAAUAUAAUUAAAUGUUUUAAGCAUUUCUCACUCAUAGAUAUUUAUGUUAGCACCAAAUUUCUGUGCAAUGAACCUCCCUCUAUAUAAAUAAUUUUGCAUGUCUAUUAUAUCAUAAUAAAUUAUUAUCAGUUGACUUACUGGGAUUAAGUAUAUGCACACUUCAUAUUUUGAAAAUUAUCGCAAGAUUGCCUUCAAAAAAUGUGGUUAACAACUUUAUCCUCAAAUGGCCAUGAAUGAGAUUGCCAGCUUUCCUACAACCUCACAGACAAUGGAGUUCAUAAAUAUUUAAGAUUUUUACCAAUGUGAUCACCCAACUAUUGUCUUAAAUUGUAUUUCUUUUGUUUUUGAGUUUGGUCAUUUUUUCAUGUUUAUUAGCCAUCUGUAUUUUUUAAUUUCUUCUUUAUGUCCAAUUUUGUGGGUGGGAGGAGGAUUUAGUCUCUUCCUGAUUUCAAAGAGCUCAUUUACUAUUUUGGAAAAUAAGAUUUGGAUUGUCAACCAUUAUAGCUAUUUUUGACACACUUUUUAACUUUGUUUUUAUUAUAAGAAUGUGUAUGAUUGUUAUAUGUCAAAGUAUAACCAUGUUUGCUUUUACGGCUUCUGAGUUUCAUGUCAUUUUUGGAAAGAUUAAUAUAUAUACUGAGUCCAUAAAAUCCUUCACCUAUGUUAAAUUCUAA